rfam:Triticum urartu cultivar G1812 contig616517, whole genome shotgun sequence.
CAACUACUCCCUCCGUUCCAAAUUACUUGUCUUAAAAGUGGAUGUACCUACAAUUAAAAUACGUCUAGAUACAUUCAUUUCUGUGACAAGUAAUUCCGAACGGAGGGAGUAGUAC